CUUCACGUUUAUUUCUGUUGCAUGACGUGGAGGGCGCUUCGUCUCGUUUGUUGCUGUUGUUCGAAUAUAUACCAUAUAAUUAAGACUCAAAUAUGUGCGGGUCAUUCUCAUUUACCAGAAAUGCUCUCAUAGGGCUCAAUAUUAUGUACAUGGUGGUUGCUUUCCUGCUGAUCGGCGUGGCGACUUACGGCAAGACGGCCAGCGUCAUCACCAGCGUUAGCAUCCUGGGCGGGAUCGUGGCCUGCGGCGUGUUCCUGCUGUUCAUCGCCAUCCUGGGGCUGGUGGGCGCCGUCAAACACCACCAGGUGUCGCUCUUCUUCUACAUGGUGGUGCUCUUUCUGCUGUUCAUCAUCCAGUUCAGCGUGGCCUGCGCGUGCCUGGCCGUCAAGGGCCCGCAGCGACGCCAGCUGGCCGAGUUUGGCUGGCGCCAUGCCAGCAACGACACCAAGCGUGAUGCCCAGAACCACUUUGGCUGCUGCGGCUUCGACACGACUCAGUUCAACGCGUCCAACCCGAUGACCGACCACCCGGCCUGCCCGGCGGUGUGCUGUCCGGGGACGACGCCCGAGGAGUGCUGUCUGGUGGGGCCGGCCUGCAUUGGUUGUACCAGCUGCGCCAACCUCAUCACCGACUCGAUGGAGUCGGGACUGAACGCGGGCGGCGGCAUCGGGCUCUUCUUCAGCUUCACAGAGGUGAGACGGGACCUGUGGGUGCGCACUCCGAGCGCGGAGCUGGUCUCGUCUCCGUCAUGGACUGGGAGUGCCCAGGCCGAUGGUGCCAGGAGUAUCCUCUACUGUGAUCAGGAGUAUGCUGCUCGCUUCUUGUGAUGGAUAACUCAGUCAGCCACGUGGAUUUAGCAGCAACGAGGUGGAUUUAAGGUUAAAUAUUUUAUCGAAGUGGUCGUUUUGACAUGUCCAAUGCACCAUCCAACAGAAAACAGGUCAACAUUAUUUUGAAGAUCCCGUAUAACACAUUUUAGCUGGGCUGAAGUCUCGCGAUGUCUUUUUUUGUCAUUUUUUGGAUGAUUAUUUUAAAGAAUGUAUUUGGCAAUUCAUGAUUUAGAAAUACAAUCCUAAUUGAUCUGUAUCUAGCAUGGACAGAUGUUAUGCCAUUGAAACUUGCUUGUGAACAUUUGAGCAACCUAAUCGUGAAUACUGACAACCCCGGAUCGCAUUGUCGCGAAUAAGAAGCAGUUGGUUUAUAUGCCGCUCAGCUCCCUAAUUGCCACGUGUUUUAUCUGCUGUGUUACAAACUGUCGUGCUGCCACUAACACUCGUGUGCUGUGGAGGUUUACUAACCCGUGUAUGAAGUACCACCACCCCGACUAACACGUGUGAGACUGGAGAGCCAGCAACGGCCCCGGCUCUCCAGUCGUCCCACGGCCCACUAACACCGGGUGACGGCACGCGGUUACAGUUCCUCGGCGUCUGGGCCACCGUGCGCUACCGCCGGCAGAGAGACCCCCGCUACGUUAAGGGCUCGUUCCUUUAGAGGAGCGUGCGGGGCUCGCGGGCGACGCCAGAUUGUCGGGUUCGCUCUGGCGCUGUGGUACCGUCGGCAGGCGGACCCGGACCGUGUCCAGGUUCUGGAGUAGGGGCCGCCACCGCACACUGCAGCCACCCCCCCCCCCCCCCCCCUGCCCGUCGGCAGCUGAUCAGCCAGCGAAACCCUCCGCGGCCGCGGGCGAUCAGGAGUGAUUUGUAAAUGUUUGGAUUUGAUGGGUGAAAACAUCCCCGACUUGGCUCGAAUCUGGGUCUGCAGCCAUUAGGUGUUGGUGUCACUGGGUUAAUUGUGCUCUGUCGGAAACAGGAGUGGCAUUUUAAAAUAAAGGUCUCAAACUGCUUGGCUGAAAAAUAUAAACGUUUCGACUUGUUUCUUGCCGCUACUAUCCGUCACAAUUAAUUGCCGCCAUCCUCGGAUGCAUCGUCCGCUUCCGUCGUGCUAACAUUGCAGGGUUACACGCAGCAGCUGAUUCGCCGUUUGGUUUACAUAGCUCCCGGCUGUGUGCUGAUUCGGUUGACGUCUGUACCCCGGUCUGACGCAGCCCCCGGACCGGGAGACGAGCUUUGUACCGGACCAGGGUCCGACCGCGGCCCCGGCAGCCCGUGCAUCCUUGUGUGUGUGUGUGUGUGUGUUUGUGUGUGUUUGUGUGCGUGUGUGCCGGUGGAGGAUUGGUGGUGAUCUGGUGCUUUUUCUCUGGUGUUCUGGAGAAAUUAUUUCUCUGUACGAGGACGGCAGGCGAGGUUGCUUUGUUCUUUUGGGGAUAACUAAACGAUCCGACGAAGGCGACGCGAUUCGACGGGACGCGGUUCGAUCCUAUGCGAGAAAGUGGUGUAGCUUGCUGUGUUGCCAUGGUAUAGGCGUGGUUUGUGGGUGAAAUUUGGUGUUUGUUAUCUAAAUAUGGAGAAUAUCUACAAAAAGUAUUACCUACUUGUAUAUCAGCUGCUGUAAAUCGUGUCAUAUGUCUAUUCAGAUAUUAUAAAUGCAUAUUUGGUAAAACGCAUAAGCGAUUUUCCCAGUAUAGACUAUGUUCCAACAUGUGAUGAUAUAUACUUAAAUUUAUGAAAUAUUUUGUGCUUAGCAAGGGUAUGCGAUAUUAUUUUGUGAUACAUCAUUCCUAAGACGUUAUCGUCUGCCUUGCUUACUGGUUUUGAGCGCUAUCACCGGGGUUGCAGCUACUUGUACGAAAUUAUCGCGACUUUGAUCCUAUCUAGGGACGUAUUUCCGGACUGAAUGUUAACCGUACUGCGGCACAUAAUAAAUACGAUGCCUAUUCGA